rnacentral:rRNA from 1 species
AAGGUGGGGAUGACGUCAAGUCAUCAUGGUCCUUACGGCCUGGGCUACACACGUGCUACAAUGGUCGGUACAAAGGGUUGCCAAGCCGCGAGGUGGAGCUAAUCCCAUAAAACCGAUCGUAGUCCGGAUCGCAGUCUGCAACUCGACUGCGUGAAGUCGGAAUCGCUAGUAAUCGUGAAUCAGAAUGUCACGGUGAAUACGUUCCCGGGCCUU